AGCGAACGCUGGCGGCAGGCUUAACACAUGCAAGUCGAACGGGCUUCUUCGGACGUCCGUGGCAGACGGGUGAGUAACACGUGGUAACGUGCCCUUCGGUUCGGAAUAACUCAGGGAAUCUUGAGCUAAUACCGGAUACGCCCUUUUGGGGAAAGGUUUACUGCCGAAGGAUCGGCCCGCGUCUGAUUAGCUUGUUGGUGGGGUAACGGCCUACCAAGGCGACGAUCAGUAGCUGGUCUGAGAGGAUGAUCAGCCACACUGGGACUGAGACACGGCCCAGACUCCUACGGGAGGCAGCAGUGGGGAAUAUUGGACAAUGGGCGCAAGCCUGAUCCAGCCAUGCCGCGUGAGUGAUGAAGGCCUUAGGGUGGUAGAGCUCGUUUGUCCGGGACGAUAAUGACGGUACCGGAAGAAUAAGCCCCGGCUAACUUCGUG
rnacentral:rRNA from 1 species